GAGAGGAGGCAGGAGUGGCUAUGACAGCCAGCACUGAGAUCCACGAGUAGACGAUGAUCUCCUCUGGCUGGUGACCAAGUCUGCUCCACUACUUAGGAGCCUAAAGAAGAUUGAGUAAGAUGGAAAAAGUGAGGCCCAGAGAGGGAAAGAGCCAGAAUUUGAAGCCAGUUGCCUGACUUUCAACCCAUUCUGAACCAUAAUGAAAGUGUGAAGUCAGUGGACACUCCCAUUCAUCUCUUCCUUGCACCCUUCUCCAUGAAAUGGAAUGCCCAUUAUAAUGACCACAGAGUUGAGCCAGAACAAGGCUGAAGAGAGAUUGUAUCCCCAGCCAAGCUGAAGACUCCAGGAAGAGUGGAGAGAAGAAAGAAGAAGAUAGAAUAAUGAUGGCAAAGUAGACCCUUCCAUUUAAAGAGAGAGGUUAAAUGACUUCCUCAAGGUCACAUAGAAGGAGGUGGACAGUGGUAUUGGGGAAGACCUCUCCCGGCUCUUCUAGCCCUUGUUGCCCUUUCUUUGCCCCAAACUCACCAAGGGGCACUAUCAGCAUCUUUAGCUACUUAGCAUUCUGGGGGUUCCUGAGGUCUUCCCCUACCAGGACCCCCAAACCCAAGAGAGACACAGGAUCUUUAACAGCUCCAGAAAGGCUGAAGAGCAGUAGGGUGGUCAGAGCCUGCCUGACUGUGACUUCAAACACCUGCGUGCCCUUCUGGUGAGCAGGACAUCCCUACACAGGGGCACCAAGGAGUUCUUACCCACGUUGGGGUGCGUGGGCCAGAGAUAGAUGUCUUAUACUCUCCAGUUACUUAGGAGGUAU